UACGGAGGGUGCGAGCGUUGUCCGGAAUCACUGGGCGUAAAGGGCGCGUAGGCGGCUCAUGAAGGCUGUGGUGAAAGUCCGGGGCUCAACCUCGGAUCGGCCGUGGCGACUCGUGGGCUGGAGCACUGUAGAGGCGGGUGGAAUUCCGGGUGUAGCGGUGGAAUGCGUAGAUAUCAGGAGGAAUACCGAUGGCGAAGGCAGGUCUCUGGGCUGACACUGACGCUCAUGCACGAAAGCGUGGGGAGCAAACAGG
rnacentral:rRNA from 1 species